GGAUCCAUGGCUAAAAUCUGCGAUCGAAACGAUAUUUGAAUUCCUACCCGGAGUGCUAAUUCGUUUUGCCGGAUGAAAUUUGCAACAACGAAAUUAGAAGGCUACCGGGGGCAAUUUGGAAGAAUGAUGCGGAAGCUAGCUUAGAACCGAAAGCUCUGAUACCAUGACAGAAAAUGUAAAAUGUAGAGAUUGGAAAAUUGUUUUCUUGUAUUCCAUCUUCUGUACAUGUACAUACUGAUAUUUAUAAUACAAAAGGGAAUCAAAGAAAGAAUAAUCAUGAUACAAUUUCCUAUAAUA